AGUCAUAUCCUUAGCAAACUCCCCUGUCUUGUCCCCAUCUGCACAGAAUAUCAGGUCACUGCUCUACAAUCUUCACAACUGCAAGCUGGGAGGGCGGGGACAGUUAUCACAAGAGGAGAAAAGAGGCAGAAGUAGCUGAUUAAAGGACAAAGGAAAGCAGGCAGCUUUAUACACCCUCCCGAGACCCCACACACAGCAGGCAUUAAGUGACCAAGUUUUUUCACAUACCCACACCACCUAAAACUCACCCAGUGCUUGGGAUCAGAUCUAGAGUGGAAGGGGAGGGAGGAAGAAAGUGAGAAAAGAAAAUGGAGGAUCCAGAAGAAGAGAAAAUAAUCCAGGGGGUAAUCUCAUGGGGGUGCUAAAGAGAUGACAGAUUAAGAUUAGAGGAUAGGUGCUGGGGGGAGGGUGUCCCUCUCCCUAAGGGUGACCUCGGUAGGGAUCAGAGAUAACCUACCUGCGGUCUGGUCUUCGGUGAAGUCACACUGCUCAGAGAAGAGGGAAGUGGUCAGCAUCUGAACGCCAAUCCCCCGAGUUU
rnacentral:lncRNA from 1 species